rnacentral:rRNA from 1 species
UACGUAGGGCGCAAGCGUUGUCCGGAAUUAUUGGGCGUAAAGAGCUCGUAGGCGGCCAGUUGCGUCUGCUGUGAAAUCCCGGGGCUUAACCCCGGGCUUGCAGUGGAUACGGGCAGGCUGGAGGCAGGCAGGGGAGAACGGAAUUCCCGGUGUAGCGGUGAAAUGCGCAGAUAUCGGGAGGAACACCGGUGGCGAAGGCGGUUCUCUGGGCCUGUACUGACGCUGAGGAGCGAAAGCGUGGGGAGCGAACAGG